GUCUGCAGCCAUAUCACCGUGAAGCUAAGCAGGGUCGAGCCUGGGUAAUACUUGGAUGGGAGACUGCCUGGAAAUACUGGGUGCUGUAGGCU
rnacentral:rRNA from 1 species